AGAACACGGAUUUUCACAACAGGAGGAGAACAUCACAGAAAUAAACACGACGAGGCGUGAUCCGAAGCUGUGUUGGUGCUCCGAUCAUAAGAGUGAGACGGUCGCGGCGCUCAGUCAGUCCUGCCACCAGUCACCGCUCAGCCUCGGAUGGCAAGGGGCACACGCUUACCUUUCCGACCCGGGUAUCCCCCUUAUCUUUCAUUAGUGAUGAUUCUGUGACGCCUCUGGACGGCUGUGUGUCCCUGGCAUUCCUGCAACACACAUACAGACACCUUCAUUGACCACAGGAUUGACCGGACUCAGUUAAAUUGUACCGUGUGCGGCGUUGCGGUUCAUUACACCUGUCACAACGAGCGGCGCCAUCAGGCCACCACACACACACACACACACACAGAGAGCAGCAGCAGCACCAGGAUCGGGUGAGCGGAGCCAGACCUUCCCAUCACCAGCAGGUCAAAUGAAGGAAAGAGUUUUAAGUGCAGAAAAGUGAAAAUGUUUCAGAUAAAGUGAAGGAACACAAGUGAAAUGUCCGGAAAGUGUAAUCUGACAAAGAAAGGGCAGGAAGAAAGAAUGAAGAGGGCAAGGCGCAGCGGUACAGAAGGCAGGGACCAAGGAAGGAUUCGAAUCAAGUUUCCAACAAGAACGAGGAGGAGGAGGAGAAAGGAAACCGGAACAAGGAGACAUGAAAGUUGGCAGUGCGUGUGGCUGUGGUGAGCGGCGGCGGCGGCGGCGGCGGCGGCGGCGACGGCGGUGGCGGCGACGACGACGACGACGACGACGACGUGUGGCGUGGCGAGCGGGUUUCUGCAGUAUCCCUCUCCUUCCCGUUUUCUGUUAUUCCCCGUUCUCUUCCUCCGCCUAGUGUACUGCUACUCGCUCUUGUACGGUGACUUUUUUUUUUUUCCUUCGUUACAAUAUUUUGUCUGUUUUCUCUUUUCUUUUCUUCUCGUGCUUUUUAUUCACAUUAUUAUUUCUUAUUCUAUUUUGUUUAUUUUGUGUGUUUGUACGUGUGUAUUUUCCUCUUCCACAUUUUAUUUGGAUUUUCUUAAUUUUUCUCGUAUUUUUCUAUUCUCCUAUUCUUCCUUGUAUCACACACACACACACACACACACACCGCGUAGUGUAGUGGUUGUUAGCACGCUCGGCUCACAACCAAGAAGGCCUGGGUUCGAAUCCCGGGAGCGACGAGGCAAAUGGGUGAGCCUCUUAAUGUGUAGCCCCUGUUCACCUAGUAGCAAGUAGGUAAGGGAUGUAACCCGAGGGGUUGUGACCUCGCUGUUUCGGUGUGUGGUCACACACACACACACACACACACACACUUCAUCGUCUCUUACUACCGAUGCCGUUGCUAUGACAAGUAUUUUAUAUUAAAUGAAUUUAUUAUUUAUUAAUUUAUUCGCUUAUUAUUAUUAUUAUUAUUAUUAUUAUUAAAUAAUUUGCAUAUUUAUUUAUCUACAUAUAUUAUUUAUCUACAUAUAUUAUUUUUAUUUUAUUAUUAUUAUUAUUAUUUAUUUUAUUUAUUUAUUUUUAUUUUUGUGUGUGUGUCGGGGAUGAGUUUUACAGCUCUCAUCGCAAGUUGUAUUUAAUAGCCACAUUUGCUCGCUCGUGUAUAUAUUGUUUAGUGUUAUCAGCGGUUCUUAAGAAACAGGAUUUUAAGAGAUUAUAAACUUUACGUGAUAUUAAGUUUUGUUUCGUUAACACUUGAUGCGCUUCAUCCUUCUCUCGCUCCUUGUUCGUGUUUCAUUCUCUUUCCUCGUGUAAACUGCUGUCCUCAUUCGUUUGUUCCCUUCUUUUAUGCACUUCAACCAUCCAGCCACAAUUUCUCGGUUGCCUCUGCACUUGUGUUGUUGUCUUUUCAUCUUGUAUUCUAAGGCAAUGGAACAGUCCGUUGAUUUCUGUUGCUAUUUUUAAAUUCUUGCACUAUAUACAUUUUUCAUAGAUUUUCCUCACCACACGCCACCACCGUCCCUGUUGAUGCUGCCGUCAACUUUAUUGGUGAGCCUUGCGUCCCAAACCUUUUUUUUUCCCUCUCUCCUGUAUUCCUCACCGCUCGUUUAGGCUGUCAUCUUUCCCUUCCCCUUUCUCUUUCUUUUCACCACUUUCACCUCUCUCUCUCUCUCUCUCUCUCUCUCUCUCUCUCUCUCUCUCUC